UCUAAUUGAGGAGUCGUUACAACAUGUUCUAGCCCGAAGAAUAUGUACGAAGCCCAAAAGUGGAAUAUGCUCGAAGCUGCUUAUCUAAUAUGAAGGUUGGGUGUAGAUUUCAAAAGAGGGUCAACCAGCGCAUGCCUCAGAUGCGGGAUCCUAAUGAUGGGAAUUUAUCAUCAAAACAAUCCAGAUCUAGCCAGAAGAUCGAAGUAGAUUCAGCCAGAGAAUCGAAACAAA
rnacentral:lncRNA from 1 species